rnacentral:lncRNA from 1 species
UCCUCGGCAGUAUAGUCUAUUGUUAGGCCGCCUCCACUAAAAUCCAACAUCUCAACCCUGAACACCUACCCAACUCGCACCUCUGCUACUGGAGGUAUCUCCAGGUGCCACCGGUUGUGAGUAGGUGGAUUUUGCUCAAAUGGCUUCUUUUUUAAAUCUACCUGCACUACUAACCUUGGACCCAUUGAAUUCAUAUUUUUUUUUCCUAUGCAGAGCUUCGUGAAGCGGAGAUGGAAUUGGGGAGAGAUCAAAUAGCCCUAGCUAGAUUCUCAAGCUUGGAUUCACCCGAAAAGGUCGAAAAGCCCUUCUUUAAGCUUUCUUAUUCGCUUUUUAGCGCAUAACUUACUCUCUCACUUAUAUUCAAGAUACAUGGUAUUUGUUCAAAGUUCAUGAUAAGUUAGAAUAUGGUUAGGAUUUUUCCACCAAUUGGACUAUCUGCCUUUUGGUGUCCUAUCAACACAGUUACUUCCAAAGAGGCAAAAUCAGUACAAAUGUUGGUUAACAGGUAAAAGCUACCAUAAUCCCUCUGCAAGCAAACAUUAGCCACUCAUCAGGGAGUAACGGGAAAAGUUUUAUCGUGUUAUCUAGAUUAAAUUCUAGUGUGAUGACUUGAUUUAACCUUUGAUUUAUCUUUAGUGAUUUAACAGAGAUACAUCAGUUGCAUUCACCAAGAAACAGUGCAAAAAGAAGUGUUAUUUUUCACAAGUAUCAUCAUUUUGAGGACAGAAAUAAUGGUCCUAAAGCUAAUCCUGGACCUAAUUGCCUUUUGUAGAGGACCCACAAAUCAAAAUCUUUAGGAUUUGCCAAUAUCUUUUGAUGGCUUCACUUCACUGCAAGUGCUUGGUUUUUUGUCUGCCCACAAGGAUGAUGGUCCCUCAACGGCUGAACGUAGUCUUGUGGUACUCAUCUCUGAGAAUACUUUUCUACAUAUCACAUAUGUGGUUGCAAUGUCUUCAAUCAAGAAAGGAAAUGACUUCACUCAUGUUCCGUAGUUUGAUUGGGACAUCUUCACUUGAAAAAUGUUACUCAAGGUACUUUCUAUCCUGGUGGUAGCCAGUGUGAGAAGUGUUCCCCUCGUAUCAAUUAGGUGAACUUCAUACAAAAUCCUUGGUACUUACUAUAUUUGAAUGCAGAUGCACGAAUCACACUAGUCAUAUUGUGCACUCAGGCCACUAGCCAGUGCUGAAGUUGAACUUUAGUGAUUCCUGUUUGUGUAGAUUAUAUCUAUCCAUUUGACAUUAACUGUUUGAAGAAGUUGCAACAGUGUCCAGCAACUGGGGAUCAUUCCAAAAAUAGGUGAUUCCAUGAACUGGGAGAUUGCUAUUUGAUAUGCUUGAUGUCAAUCUGCAUCAUCUUUUGGCCAAGGAGAAAAAUUAUUUAAGUAGAAUUAACCUAUAACUUCUCACCCAACUGCUUGAACUAAAAAUAGUACGUGCCAUAUAUGUAUAAUAUGUACUACCUCCGUUCAUGUUUAAUUGUCAUGAUUUCUAUUUUUAGAGUCAAACUAUAAGAACUUUGACAAAAAUUUUAAAACGUAUCUUUAUCAUAUUGAUAUGGAAAAAAUUAUAACUUAUAGUACUUUUCGUAUAGAUUUUGAAUAUUUAAAUUUUUUUGUUGAAAAUAUCAAAUUAAUAUAAUCUAAUUUAACUUUGAAAAUUAGUCAAAUUGAUUUUUUAAAAACGCAACAUGAAAAAUAAAGGCAUAAUACAUACUUGUACUCUUUAACUUGCCUUCGAAUCACAUUUACGUUCUUCAACUUUUGGUGUGCUCAAGUAGAUACUUAAACUUGUAUAAAGCUGAACAAAUAAAUACACGUAUUCUAUAUGUCAUUUUUUGUCCUACAUGUCCUACGCGCAGUGUGUCAUGUAGGAUUCAUGUGUUUAUUUAUUGAAAGUUGGAGGUCAAAGUUAAAAUUUGAAAUCAAGUUUAGGGUUCAAUAUAUGUAUUGCCGAAAAUAAAAGUGGACGGAGGGCGUAUAUGAUUAGGAAUAGUAAAAACAUGAACAUAUGUAUAUGGUUAGGAAUAGUAAAUACAUGAAUCCGGCCAACUAUUUUUGUAAAGAUACCAAUUAAAAGGGAACGAGAUUAUAGGUAACACAGACUUCCGUAAUUACUAACAUAGAAACAGUAAGACAUUUAAUUAACGAGCUAUAUAUAUAUAUAAUUAACCUUAUAAUUAACCCUUUGUCUGAAAAAAAC